UUUGACCUACAGAAGAAAUGAUGACUCAGCACUUUGAGAGUGAAGCAUGUUUUACGUGCUUCAACAUCACCAGAGUCAUGACUCAGCAUUCUGAGAGAAGAAUGUAUCACGUGAUGCAACAUCUCUAGAGUCAUGACUCAGCAUUCUGAGAAAAGCAUGUAUCACGUAAUGCACAUCCACAGAGAGUCACAAUGUAAAUUGCACAGAUGAGACACUCUUAUAGUAUAACAUUGUAGUAUAAGUACUAUUUAAAACACGAGAAGGGGUGUUUUCGCGGGUAUAAACUCCCGAGGGCGAAGCUUAAAACACGCAUCAAUAUUCAAUAGGCAUGUUGAUCAAUCGAGAUGGAAAACGACAACAACAAUAGCUUUUGAAUUGUCAUUAAAAAGACUACCGGAAUAAAGUAUAUUGAAAGUAGAUUGAAAACUAUGCUAUUUACUAGGAAUAAAGUAGUUUACUGUAUGUGAUCUUACGUAUGUCGUUGUUUAUUUGACAAAUCUGCUUGAUGCAACAUUAUAUAUAGCUUCAUGACGUCAUGAGGGUUUUAUAUAAUCCUUCAUGUCUGUCAUUGUUUUUCUAUUGUACCCCAAUAUUUCCCUAGAGACGAUUUCAAUUCCCUCCCCGUGCUUUAGAUUUGUUGGGUGUAUUGCUAGGUAUAAAACCUAUUCACGUGUCCGAAAAACGACAUCCGAUUGGUCAACAUGCCUAUUGAAUAUUGAUUUUCUCUCCAUUUCGUGGAACAUGUACUGGAAUGACCUGGAGAUAAAAACAGGUUCUAGAAUAAGAUUGCCACGGUCAAAGAAGGAGACAGAGAAAAAGUGGAGACGAAGAACGACAUGGAGACAGAGAAGGAAGUGGAGACA